AUAACUGGUGUUAUAUCCCGCAUGUUGAAUGCUAAACAACCACAUCCACCACGCUGCCACUACUUCGAUCCUUCAUUUUCGGUUGUUCUUGCAAGCCUUCUACCGAAAGCUAGAGAAGAAGAAAUCCUUGACAGAUCGCACAUGUUUCUUCAAGCUGACAAAGUGGGACACGAUGUAGCCUCGUGUGAAAUGGUACAUGAACAUAAUGUUUUCAUAGCUACUUAACAGUAUGGCUUAUAUCUAUCAACAUAGAGCCUAACAAUUCAGUUGGUGAAAAUGUAAUUGUUCCUUCCCAUAUGCGAGAAUAACCAUUGGCACCUCUAUGUGCUGAACAUUCCUGCUGGCCGUAUCGAGAUCCUAUCUAGUUUCCCACUGCGAAGAGGGAACUACAUUAGUGCUUCCAGUAGGCGAUUGUCAAUGGCGUUGGAAAAAGCAUUGCACGCACAUGGAAUUCAUGUGGAUAUGGAGGUAUCAAAAUUGGUCCAUGUACAGCCAGAUCUAGUGCAACAAAAAAAAUGGGUAUGACUGUGGCAUCUUUGCACUUAAGUACAUGGAAUAUUGGAAUGGGGCAACAUUAACACAAGCAGUUGUAGAGGAGAAAAAGCAUGUUUAUAGGUUGCAAAUGGUUGUGACAUUGCUCCUUAAUGAAGCCAACAAUGUUAGAGAGAAUAUUAUAGAGGCAUGUGGAUUGUGAGUGGUUAUAGGAGCUGAAAAUGUCAAAUUCAGCAAAAGAAAGAGCCAUAACCAGCGCCAGAAGCUAGCAACCAUUCAACGCACUGCCAAGAAACUUGAAGCUAAGAUGAACUAGAAGCAUCCAGUUAGUCAAGGAAAUAGGAGAGGAGGUGGAAGAUGAACGUCUUCUUGUAGGUGGACAAAAUUUUUGUGGUGUUACCUUAUAGGUUACUCAGUGAAUUGAUUAUGAAGAAAAAAAUGAUGUAUUUGCUUGAGGAUUAUAUCUUCAAUGUUGGAGCUCUCAAUGGACAUUAUGAAGCAUUCCCACUAUAUUGCGCAUGAUCCCCUGUAGUUCUAACCAGGUAAAAGUCUAUGGUUAAGCAGGUAAAGAGGUUGGAAACUCCUUCACAUUCCUUCCUCAGAUGGCUUUGCUUUCUACUCUCUUGUAACAGUUCUUUAGCCCUUCUCAUCCGAAUCUCGUAUCUAUUUUUGGGAAGCAUUUUUUGGUGGUUAUAUAGCAAUUCUACUUGUGUUUCUGUUAAGCUCACAUUAAGGUGGUGAAUGUAGUGUAAAGACUGUUUGUUAA